rnacentral:lncRNA from 1 species
UGUCUGGCAAAUUUCCAACAUAUAUUAUCAACUACUAUUCUAUACAAAGAAAGAUAACUCCAAUUGAAAAUUAAUUGCUAUUGCACAAUAUUGUGCUAUUAGAUAUUUCUUGCUAUUGUGCAAUACUGUGCAAUUGAAAAUUUCUUGCUAUUGCACAAUACUUGAUAUGGAAUCCUGAUUUGGACCAACUUGAAAAAUGGGCCCAUAAUCAAAAAUCAAAGUACAUGUUUAGAUAAAGCAUAUCAAAUAAGCCCAAUAAUUUAAUUUUUGUUAAAAUCAAACUUAGUUUAAUUUUUGACCCUAUGGACCUUAAUGUAGACCAAUUUGAAAAAUGGACCAAAAAUUAAGA